rnacentral:rRNA from 1 species
CGUAACAAGGUCUCCGUUGGUGAACCAGCGGAGGGAUCAUUACAGAGUUGCAAAACUCCCACAAACCAUCGCGAAUCUUACCCGUACGGUUGCCUCGGCGCUGGCGGUCCGGAAAGGCCCUCGGGCCCUCCCGGAUCCUCGGGUCUCCCGCUCGCGGGAGGCUGCCCGCCGGAGUGCCGAAACUAAACUCUUGAUAUUUUAUGUCUCUCUGAGUAAACUUUUAAAUAAGUCAAAACUUUCAACAACGGAUCUCUUGGUUCUGGCAUCGAUGAAGAACGCAGCGAAAUGCGAUAAGUAAUGUGAAUUGCAGAAUUCAGUGAAUCAUCGAAUCUUUGAACGCACAUUGCGCUCGCCAGUAUUCUGGCGAGCAUGCCUGUUCGAGCGUCAUUUCAACCAUCAAGCUCUGCUUGCGUUGGGGAUCCGCGGCUGCCCGCGGUCCCUCAAAAUCAGUGGCGGGCUCGCUAGUCACACCGAGCGUAGUAACUCUACAUCGCUAUGGUCGUGCGGCGGGUUCUUGCCGUAAAACCCCCCAUUUCUAAGGUUGACCUCGGAUCAGGUAGGAAUACCCGCUGAACUUAAGCAUAUCAAUA